UUGACCGACCAACAUACAGGAGGAGAAAUAGAGUUCUUCCUACAAACCCUAAAUUCACUAAAUAUCAUUCAAAAUCAAAGAGAGAAACAGAAUUGAACUCGAUUCAAAGCUAAAUUCGUGAUCACCAUAGUUAGUAGAUCACAAGGCAAUUUGGGUGGAUCAUCAAGUAAUCAAGGCGGAACGAAUAAUCUUUUAAAGGGAAAGCUUUAAAGGUACGCGGUUAUAUGCUUCGUAACUAUGAACAUCUUUCGGAUGGCGAUCAAGUUUGCUAGAGGACCGAACACACAAACCAACGAAGCUUCCACUGCUACUUUAUAUAGUAAUGUUUAACUUUUUGGUUUUAUUUUAAUUAUGUAAUCUUUUUUUAUAUUACUAGGUUGUGGACCCCGUGUGUUACACGGAUUGAAUAAAGAAAAUAUCUCAUGUAAAUAAAGAUGAUAAAUACCAUAAAAAAUGCUUAAG
rnacentral:lncRNA from 1 species